rnacentral:rRNA from 1 species
GACGAACGCUGGCGGCGUGCUUAACACAUGCAAGUCGAACGGUAAGGCCCUUUCGGGGGUACACGAGUGGCGAACGGGUGAGUAACAAGUGGGUGAUCUGCCCUGCACUUUGGGAUAAGCCUGGGAAACUGGGUCUAAUACCGAAUAUUCUUUGCUGGUCGCACGGCCUGGUGGGGGAAAGCUUUCGCGGUGUGGGAUGGGCCCGCGGCCUAUCAGCUUGUUGGUGGGGUGAUGGCCUACCAAGGCGACGACGGGUAGCCGGCCUGAGAGGGUGUCCGGCCACACUGGGACUGAGAUACGGCCCAGACUCCUACGGGAGGCAGCAGUGGGGAAUAUUGCACAAUGGGCGCAAGCCUGAUGCAGCGACGCCGCGUGAGGGAUGACGGCCUUCGGGUUGUAAACCUCUUUCAAUAGGGACGAAGGGCGACUGACGGUACCUAGAGAAGAAGCACCGGCCAACUACGUGCCAGCCGCCGCCGUAA